rnacentral:rRNA from 1 species
UGGCGGACGGGUGAGUAACGCGUGGGCAACCUGCCCUGCACCGGGGGAUAACACUUAGAAAUAGGUGCUAAUACCGCAUAAGCGCACAGAGCCGCAUGGCUCAGUGUGAAAAACUCCGGUGGUGCAAGAUGGACCCGCGUCUGAUUAGCUGGUUGGCGGGGUAACGGCCCACCAAGGCGACGAUCAGUAGCCGGCCUGAGAGGGUGAACGGCCACAUUGGGACUGAGACACGGCCCAAACUCCUACGGGAGGCAGCAG